GAUGAACGCUGGCGGCGUGCCUAAUACAUGCAAGUCGAGCGAACAGACGAGGAGCUUGCUCCUCUGACGUUAGCGGCGGACGGGUGAGUAACACGUGGAUAACCUACCUAUAAGACUGGGAUAACUUCGGGAAACCGGAGCUAAUACCGGAUAAUAUAUUGAACCGCAUGGUUCAAUAGUGAAAGACGGUUUUGCUGUCACUUAUAGAUGGAUCCGCGCCGCAUUAGCUAGUUGGUAAGGUAACGGCUUACCAAGGCAACGAUGCGUAGCCGACCUGAGAGGGUGAUGGGCCACACGGGAACGGAGACACGGUCCAGACUCAUAGGGGAGGGAGGAGGAGGGAAUUUUCCGCAAGGGGAGAAAGCCUGACGGAGCAACGCCGCGGGGGUGAAGAAGGUCUGCGGCUCGUAAAACUUUGUUAUUAGGGAAGAACAAAUGUGUAAGUAACUAUGCACGUCUGGAGGGAACCAAAUCAGAAAGCCACGGCAAACUCCGG
rnacentral:rRNA from 1 species